AGAAAAAUUUACUUAUGUGAAAGCAGAAGCUACAUAAAAAUCCGUUAAAGCUCAGUCAUAUCAUAAGGUGUCAUAUCAAUAUACUGAUCACAGUGUAAUACUAUUAUUUCUUUAUAGGAGUAAAAGUUAUUCAUCCUGUGGAGGAGGCACCCAUGGUUACGACAAUGAGUUUAAGAGCAUGGAGGCUAUCUUUCUGGCACAUGGACCCAGUUUUAAAGAGAAGACUGAAAUUGAACCGUUCGAAAAUAUUGAACUCUAUAACCUAAUAUGUGAUCUUCUACACAUUGAACCAGCACCAAACAAUGGUACCCAUGGCAGUUUAAACCAUCUUCUGAAGGUGCCUUUUUAUGAGCCAUCCC